GUGGUAAUAAGCAUUGUUUAUAAGUUUCAUAACAUUUGGUUGAAGCAAACUAAAGUUAGAGAACGGAAACGAACAAUUCAGCAAGUUUGCUUUUAGUACAGGGGCAUAACUCUUGAACUGGAAAAGUGGCGCCAUCAACAUUCAAACGCUAUCUGUGGUUUGUGGUAAUGAACAGUGUGUAUAAGUUUUAUAUCAUUUGGUAGAGACAAACUAAAGUUGGAAAACGGAAACCAAUUUUGAAAACGUACAGACGGACGGACCUAUGUAUGUAUGUAUGUAUAGACGGAGAAGGGAACAACUUAAUGCUCGCUCCGGUACAGAGAGGACGUAUGCAUGCU
rnacentral:lncRNA from 1 species